rnacentral:rRNA from 1 species
CACGUAGGGGGCGAGCGUUGUCCGGAAUCAUUGGGCGUAAAGAGCUCGUAGGCGGCUCAGUAAGUCGGGUGUGAAACCCUCAGGCUCAACCUGGGGACGCCACCCGAUACUGCUGUGGCUAGAGUCCAGUAGGGGAGUGUGGAAUUCCCGGUGUAGCGGUGAAAUGCGCAGAUAUCGGGAGGAACACCAGCGGCGAAGGCGGCACUCUGGGCUGGAACUGACGCUGAGACGCGAAAGCGUGGGGAGCGAACAGG